ensembl:misc_RNA Vault Vault RNA
GGGCUGGCUUUCGCCCAGCGGUUCCUUGGAGUCUGGCUUCCCAACCGCUGGGGCCGAUUGAUUCGGUGGUUCGAGACCCACGGACACUCUCCAGUCCUUAA